rnacentral:rRNA from 1 species
CUAUAGCUUGACACUGAACAUUGAGCCUUGAUGUGUAGGAUAGGUGGGAGGCUUUGAAGUGUGGACGCCAGUCUGCAUGGAGCCGACCUUGAAAUACCACCCUUUAAUGUUUGAUGUUCUAACGUUGGCCCCUGAUCGGGGUUGCGGACAGUGUCUGGUGGGUAGUUUGACUGGGGCGGUCUCCUCCUAAAGAGUAACGGAGGAGCACGAAGGUUGGCUAAUCCUGGUCGGACAUCAGGAGGUUAGUGCAAUGGCAUAAGCCAGCUUGACUGCGAGCGUGACGGCGCGAGCAGGUGCGAAAGCAGGUCAUAGUGAUCCGGUGGUUCUGAAUGGAAGGGCCAUCGCUCAACGGAUAAAAGGUACUCCGGGGAUAACAGGCUGAUACCGCCCAAGAGUUCAUAUCGACGGCGGUGUUUGGCACCUCGAUGUCGGCUCAUCACAUCCUGGGGCUGAAGUAGGUCCCAAGGGUAUGGCUGUUCGCCAUUUAAAGUGGUACGCGAGCUGGGUUUAGAACGUCGUGAGACAGUUCGGUCCCUAUCUGCCGUGGGCGCUGGAGAACUGAGGGGGGCUGCUCCUAGUACGAGAGGACCGGAGUGGACGCAUCACUGGUGUUCGGGUUGUCAUGCCAAUGGCACUGCCCGGUAGCUAAAUGCGGAAGAGAUAAGUGCUGAAAGCAUCUAAGCACGAAACUUGCCCCGAGAUGAGUUCUCCCUGACUCCUUGAGAGUCCUGAAGGAACGUUGAAGACGACGACGUUGAUAGGCCGGGUGUGUAAGCGCAGCGAUGCGUUGAGCUAACCGGUACUAAUGAACCGUGAGGCUUAACCUU